GACGAACGCUGGCGGCGUGCUUAACACAUGCAAGUCGAACGGAAAGGCCCUGCUUUUGUGGUGUGCUCGAGUGGCGAACGGGUGAGUAACACGUGAGUAACCUGCCCUUGACUUUGUGAUAACUUCAGGAAACUGGGGCUAAUACCGGAUAUGAGCUCCUGCUGCAUGGUGGGGGUUGGAAAGUUUCGGCGGUUGGGGAUGGACUCGCGGCUUAUCAGCUUGUUGGUGGGGUAGUGGCUUACCAAGGCUUUGACGGGUAGCCGGCCUGAGAGGGUGACCGGCCACAUUGGGACUGAGAUACGGCCCAGACUCCUACGGGAGGCAGCAGUGGGGAAUAUUGAACAAUGGGCGGAAGCCUGAUGCAGCAACGCCGCGUGCGGGAUGAAGGCCUUCGGGUUGUAAACCGCUUUCGCCUGUGACGAAGCGUGAGUGACGGUAAUGGGUAAAGAAGCACCGGAUAACUACGUG
rnacentral:rRNA from 1 species